UACGUAGGGAGCAAGCGUUGUCCGGAAUCAUUGGGCGUAAAGCGCGCGUAGGCGGCCCUGUAAGUCCGCUGUAAAAGUCAAAGGCUCAACCUUUGAAAGCCGGUGGAUACUGCAGGGCUAGAGUCCGGAAGAGGCGAGUGGAAUUCCUGGUGUAGCGGUGGAAUGCGCAGAUAUCAGGAGGAACACCGAUGGCGAAGGCAGCCCCCUGGGCUAACACUGACGCUCAGGCACGAAAGCGUGGGGAGCAAACAGG
rnacentral:rRNA from 1 species